rnacentral:rRNA from 1 species
UACAGAGGGCCCGAGCGUUGUUCGGAUUCAUUGGGCGUAAAGGGUGCGUAGGCGGCGCGGUAAGUCGGGUGUGAAAUCUCGGAGCUUAACUCCGAAACUGCAUUCGAUACUGCCGUGCUUGAGGACUGGAGAGGAGACUGGAAUUUACGGUGUAGCGGUGAAAUGCGUAGAUAUCGUAAGGAAGACCAGUGGCGAAGGCGGGUCUCUGGACAGUUCCUGACGCUGAGGCACGAAGGUCAGGGGAGCAAACGGG